rnacentral:lncRNA from 1 species
GUGCUUAAAAUCAGAAGAGAGAGACAGACAAGGAGAGUGAAGAGGGAGAUGCGACUACUGAGUAGUGGUCCAAAAGAGGCAACGUUGCUGGCUUUGAAGAUGGAGGAAGGGGGCUGUGAGUCAAGGAAUGUGAGCAGCCUCUAGAAGCUGGAAAAGCUGAUUUGGAAUGCAUGCUGUCGAAACUUCCACAUUCCUCAUGCAUCUAAAACAGAACUAUAGUUGGAGAUUUCUUCUGCAGAUCCACCUCUAGUGUUGCCAUUGACAAGCUCAGGAAGAGCGAGGCGAGGCAGAGACUCUCCCUGGAGUGUCUCAGAUGCAUGCGAUGUGCAUGACUGCUGGAUUUGGAUCAGUGAGCUGAAAGAUGCAGAACAUCACACUUGGCUGGAUGAGUCCCUGUGGAUUGUGGACGAGGAGAAACCGUGAGCGCUGUUCAUUCUAGAAGAUCAGCCCUGAGCUAACAUCUGCUGCUAAUCCUCCUCUUUUUGCUGAGGAAGACUGGCCCUGAGCUAACAUCCGAGCCCAUCUCCCUCUGCUUUCUAUGUGGGAUGCCUACCAUAGCAUGGCUUUUGCCAAGUAGUGCCAUGUCCGCACCCGGGAUCCAAAACGACGAACCCCAGGCCUCUGAAGUGGAACGUGCGAACUUAACCACUGCGCCACGGGGCCAGCCCCAAC